GUGAAGCCUUAUGCUGAGAUAAUUUUAUCUAGUUCAUGAACCAAAAUUAUAUAUAAGCUGAAUGCUACAGCAGUGUUGAAAGACUGGUGAGUAACAUAAUAAAUAUUAACAGAAGACUUGGUUCACGGUAAAAUUUUGGAGCUAUAUAGUUAAAGUAAAUAGAUUCUCCAUAGGAAAGUGUAUAUAUAUAGAUUGUGGUUUAUUAUAGCACAUAUUACUAGGUGAUUUAAAGCAGCGGUCCUCAAUAUAUGAGUCAUGACCCCUUUGGGGGUUGAAUGACCCUUUCUAGGAGCUGCAUAUCACAUAUCCUGCAUAUCAGAUAUUUAUCUUUACGAUUCAUAACAGUAGCAAAAUUAUAGUCAUGAAAUAGCAAUGAAAAUAAUUUCAUGAUUGGGAACUGUUAGUAGAGGUUUGAAGUAUUAGGAAGGUUGAGAACCACUGGUUCAAAGGGAAGAAAAUAAUAUUAAAAAUAAAAGUGCUUAUAAAUACCUAUGACAUACUUUCUAUAUAAAAUUUUAUGUAGUAAAUAUUUUAUAGCUAUAAAUGUGAAUAAACUGUAAACACAUGGAUGGCCAUGAUAAGUAUCAGCUAGUGUGGGUGUAGGUUUCCUGCAUUGUAAUCUUGGU
rnacentral:lncRNA from 1 species